UUUAUGCUACUCGCCUCAUCGCAUUUGCCAUGAGAUUCAAUUUCCUGAUUAUUAUGUUCUUCCGCUUCGUCUCUUAACUCUCAUCCCUAUCUGCAUCCUUCACCAUCUUUACUUUCUUCUCCAUUUACUUCCUUUCAUCAUCGUCUUCUUCAAUUUGAUGGCUAAGCUUACGAGUAAUGCCCUGUGCAUGAUUAAUUGGCUUGACGAGAGCACUGGUAGACCUAGCUCCGAUUUGGCAUGGUUGAGAUGAGCUGUUGAAGAUAAUGGAUUUGGCUUCUCUUCGACAUUUCUGUAAAAAGGAAGGAUUUGGACGACCAUCACGACAUGCGGAGAAUGAUAUGGAGAAUUGCCAUUCCUUGGAGCAUCGUAUCCCUUCAAUCGACAAAUCAAUAAACCUGAUAAACCAAUUAAAGAUGGGUCUUUCCAUUUGGAUCUGCUUGAGGCUGCAAGGAGCAGAAAAUAGCUAAUACCAUUCAAUCUGAGCUACACAAGUUUGAGAAUGGUGAUGGAUUUUCCAGGUCAGUUCGUGGCCUUAGAAAAACUGUAAUUGUUUCCCUGUUUUAUACACCGAGGAAAUCCAUUUUAUCCAUAGAAAAUAAAGAUCGCCAUUUAUAAGUAAAAAUGAAGACUGAGGAAGUCCCCGAAGUUUUUUUGCCAAAAAUCUGAGGCAAAGCGGUUGACUCGUUGGCUCAGCGCGCGAGUCCCACUAUGCUCAGAAAUCAAAGGAGGAAUUAUAUAAUACUUGGUACAACCCAUUUAUGACGUGUAGUGAAAAAUGUAAAACUGUGAAUUGAUUUUUUUUUUUCUCUUACUAAUUUUUUUUUAAAUUUCAGGUGUUAUAAUAUUAUCGACUACGAUUAAACCAUUCUACAUUCAACAGUUGUAUUGUAAGAUUUCUCAAAAUUGGGAGGUAAAGAUCCUUGAAUCAUUAGCUUCAACUCCCACCUCAUGGUAAUCUUGGAACACUCAACUUUUAAGCCUCUUUUCCAC
rnacentral:lncRNA from 1 species